rnacentral:rRNA from 1 species
UACAGAGGGUGCGAGCGUUGUUCGGAUUUACUGGGCGUAAAGGGCGCGUAGGCGGCAAAUUAAGUCAGCUGUGAAAUCUCCGAGCUUAACUCGGAACUGUCAGCUGAUACUGAUCUGCUAGAGUGCGGAAGGGGCAAUCGGAAUUCUUGGUGUAGCGGUGAAAUGCGUAGAUAUCAAGAGGAACACCUGAGGUGAAGACGGGUUGCUGGGCCGACACUGACGCUGAGUGCGCGAAAGCCAGGGGAGCAAACGGG